rnacentral:rRNA from 1 species
CACCAGACUCCUACGGGAGGCAGCAGUGGGGAAUAUUGCACAAUGGGGGAAACCCUGAUGCAGCGACGCCGCGUGAGCGAUGAAGUAUUUCGGUAUGUAAAGCUCUAUCAGCAGGGAAGAAGAUGACGGUACCUGACUAAGAAGCCCCGGCUAACUACGUGCCAGCAGCCGCGGUAAUACGUAGGGGGCAAGCGUUAUCCGGAUUUACUGGGUGUAAAGGGAGCGUAGACGGCGGCGCCAGCCAGAUGUGAAAGCCCGGGGCUCAACUCCGGGACUGCAUUUGGAACUGUGUGGCUGGAGUGUCGGAGAGGCAGGCGGAAUUCCUAGUGUAGCGGUGAAAUGCGUAGAUAUUAGGAGGAACACCAGUGGCGAAGGCGGCCUGCUGGACGAUGACUGACGUUGAGGCUCGAAAGCGUGGGGAGCAAACAGGAUUAGAUACCCGAGUA